rnacentral:lncRNA from 1 species
AGGGAAAGAGAUUUAGAAGCCUUCAGCAGAGAGAUGAUGUUUUAAGCCUUAGGAGUGAAUGAAAUUACCCAGAGAACAUGCAUGAUGAGAAGAGAACCUGGAACAGCAGGGGCCAAGAUUUAGGAUCUGUCAGACAACGAGGAGCCCAAGACUGAGACCUGUUAAUCCAAAAUGCACCAUUUUGUAAGCUCCCUGCCAAUAUGCAGACCUUGGUCAAAGUGAAACAUUCCACGAGGGUUCGGGCCAUGAGAACCUGCCUGCCCAACCGCCUGACUUUAACACAUUCUGCUGAGAAAAAGUCCAAGGAACAUCAUUAUUACAUUCUGUGGGAACAAGGCCCCAACUGCCUCAUUGUGGGAACGUCUUCUCAACAUCUUCCCUGGCAGCACGCCAUACUGCCCAGACCCCUCCCUGCCAUACCUACAAGUAUCCCAGCCUGUAAGCAGUGGUGGGCACUGGCAUUAAGCUGGUCCUCCACCUCGGCAGGUUUACCUGGACAUAAAUACCUGCAUUUGCUGUUGAGCCGCCCUCUCGCUCUAUGUGUGUCUUUAACCCUCACCUUCCCUUGGAAACCUAACAAGAAGCAGGAGCCAGGAAGGUAGGAGGAAGACAGAAGCCCAUGGUGUUAAAAACAGCCACAGGAAUUAUGUAGAACAGUGAUUCUCAAAGUGAGGUCCACAAACUCUCGGGGCUCCCAUGACCCUUGUAGGAGGUCCACACAAGCCAAAAUAUCUCUAUAUGGAUACUAAGGUGUUAUUUGUUGAUUUCAUUCUCAUGAGCACAUGAAUGCAGAAUGGAGAUUUCCGGAGGCUACCGGAAAGGUGAUAUUGCAACAAACUGGAGAAACAACAUCAUGAAAUUUCUCCAUUUUAAUUUCUAAUAAAUAUCAAUGUUUAUAAGCAAAAUGGUUUUUUUGGUGGGGUGGUUUUCAACAAUGUAAGGAUAAACAGAUCCUGUGAUCAAAGAGUGAGAACACAGCCAUAGAGAGCUUUACAAAGGGCAUCAGUAUUAAUGUCAAAUGUUACUGAGGCCUCGAGGGAACUAACCAGUCAGAAGCAACCAUCGAAUUUAGUAAUGGACUUCACUCACUUGGUGAAAGCUGUUCCGUGUCAUGGUGGCAGAGACACAGCACAGUGGCUGAGAGUGAGCAGGAGCUGUGGAAGUUGAAUAAUGCCUGAAGGGACCAUUCUUUCUAUCUCAAUGGCGGGAACACCUUCAUGGCCCCUUUAUAGCUGGAUGAUCAUUUCCUGUUCUCUCCACCAUGGCCACCUGGUCCAAGCCACCAUCUUCAUGCACCUGGAUACCUGCCAUAACCUCAGCUGACCUUUCCUGUGUCCAUUCUUGUUCCUUUGGGCCCAGUCUCCUCGCUCAUAGCAGCAGAAUGAGUCUAUUAAAAAGUGAAACAAUUUCUGUCA